GCCAGUGUGGUAUAGUGGUUUGAGCGCUGGACUAUGAUUCUGGAGGCCAGGGUUCGUAUCUUUGCUUGGCCA